CUACUUCCAUGGAGAAAAGGGAGGAAACUUUGCCAUUGUCUCUGAUGAUAAUCUACAAAUCAAUGCACACUUGAUCGGAACUCGACCACAAGGGAGGACUCGUGACUUCACAUGGGUGCAAGCCCUCUCUAUCAUGUUUGACACUCACACACUAGUCAUUGCAGCAAAGAGGAUCUCACUCUGGGACGAUAACGUUGAUGCUCUUUUAGUAAGAUGGGAUGGUGCCACAGUUGACGUCCCGACUGAUGGGGAGGCAGAAUGGAGGACUAAUGGUGAAGAAAGAGAGGUUUUGGUUGAAAGAACUGAUGAUAGUAAUACUAUAAGAGUUGCAGUUUCAAAUUUGGUGGAGCUAAAUAUAAAGGUAAGACCAAUUGGGAAAGAAGAGAACAGGGUUCAUAAAUACCAGUUGCCAGAGGAUGAUGCUUUUGCUCACUUGGAGACACAGUUCAAGUUUUUCAACCUGACAGAUCUUGUUGAAGGAGUUUUGGGCCAGACUUACAGGCCAGAUUAUGUUAGCCCUGUCAAGACUGGAGUUCCUAUGCCAAUGAUGGGUGGAGAGGACAAGUACCACACUCCAUCUCUCUUUUCACCUCUUUGCAGCGUUUGCAGAUUUCAAAGGCAGUAUAGCCAUGAAACAACUAAGGGAGUAUCUGAAUACUGAUUAACAGAUAAUAUAAGCAAAGAUUAGCGAAUUUGACGUCUAUACGUAUGUGGUUCUAUAUCCUAUAACCUUUGUAUUUGGAUUGAAUUCAUAAAUAAAGGCAAUAAAACUUGAAUAUUUG
rnacentral:misc_RNA from 1 species